rnacentral:lncRNA from 8 species
AGGGGCUUUAUUGGCGUGGGAAACAUAUGAUAACAUUGCCAAAGCAAGUGAAGUAGAUAAUAAACAAAAAGUGAAAUAAUAAUUAAAAAUGAACAGUAAACAUUACACAAACAAAAGUUCCAAAAGAAUAAAGAUAUUUUUACUGAGUGUCUGUCAGCACACAUAGGAACACAAAACACGCCCCUGUCCCAUUUUUCCCAGGUCUCCUUACAGCUUUUGCGCUUCACGUUGCCACUGCCGGGGGCCGGCCUCAGUGUGUGUGAGAGGACGGGGCAGUCAGUGGAGUGCAGCUGAACUUCUCGGUCCAGCUGUGGAAUACGCCUGUGAGGUGGCCAGCCUCUGUAUGUGUGUGUGUGUGUGUGUGUGUGUGUGUGUGUGUGUGUGUGUGUGUGUAUAUAGACUGUAGCCGAGAAGCAAAGUGACAGGAUAAAACAAUUUGGACGUUUCCUCUCAUCAUAACCGAGCUUCUCAGCCCUGUUUCAAUGAUGGACCCAGAGACAUUCUGUCAGUCAGAGUCAGACCAGAUGAGUCCAGACGAGACACAGUCGCCCCUGGAUCUGAUAGACACAGGGAAAGGCCUGAAGGUCCAGACAACCACACCACAUCUGGUUAGCCUGGGGAGUGGGAGGCUGAGUGUGGCCAUCACCCUACUGCCCCUUAAAGAGGGUAACACACACUCUCACACACACAAUCACUCACUCUCACACACACAAUCACUCACUCUCACACACAUAAUCACUCACUCUCACACACACAAUCACUCACUCUCACACACACAAUCACUCACUCUCACACACAUAAUCACUCACUCUCACACACACAAUCACUCACUCUCACACACACAAUCACUCACUCUCACACACAUAAUCACUCACUCUCACACACACAAUCACUCACUCUCACACACACAAUCACUCACUCUCACACACAUUUGAUUGGCCCAUACUUUCCCUGAUGCUUUUAUCUGUUCAUCUGUCUAUAGAUUUCACUGUAACCAUGGUGACAGCUACUGGAGAGAGGGGGGGGGGGGGAGAGAAGGAGAGAGAGAGAGAGAGAGAGAGAGAGAGAGAGACAGAGAGAGAGAGAUAUGAUACGAUACUCUGGGAGGAAAUCAAGGAACACUACAGCCAGGACAGGGAGACAGACUGACUUCCUCCAUCAGGGAACACUAAACACACACAGUAAUUUUACUGUAAAAUGACAUAAUUGCUUUACAUUUAUAGAGCUCCCAGUCAUCAACAGGUGUCUCUGGUUCAUCAGUAUUCCAGACAGAUAGCUCGCUAACAAGAUCUACACCCAGACACAGUCUAGACUGGUAGACUUAAACACUGUCUAUAACAGAUGUGCUACGCUGACUAGAUCAUCUCUACCCCACAACAACGUACCAUGACUAGUUCCAGGAGUGACCCGUAUCGGGCGAGAGGAGGCGGUGAUACCCCAAGACAUUCCCAUCCAGGGUACGGAACACUGUGUCAUCACCCUUGACCCCUACAGUAACCUCUGCUCCCAGGAUGGGGUCGCUGUGACAUCACCCGUCCCGCUCAUACAAGGUGAGAUACUCAGAGGAAUUCAGAAACAGAACCACACACACACUAACACACACACACACACACACACACACACACACACACACACACACACACAAACACACUAACACACACACACACAGUCUUGUACAGCUAACCUUGUGGGGACACACAAUUCAGUCCUAUUCAAAAUCCUAUUUUCCCUAACCCUAAACCUAAGCCUAACCCAAAAACCUAACCUUAACCUUAACCCUAAAACUAACCCUAGCUCCUAACUCUAACCCUUAAUGUAAUUCUAACCUUAAGCCUAACCCCCCUAAGAAUAGCAUUUGACCUCGUGGGGACGAACAAAAUCUCCCCAUUUGGUCAAAUUUGUGUUUAUUUACUAUUCUUGUGGGGACUUCUGGUCCAGAAUAGUUAAACACGAUCAAAAACACACACACAGGACCACAGACACACACACACAUAGUACCAAACAUACACACAGUACCACAAACACACAUUACCACACACACACACACACACUGUUCCACAAACACACAGUUCCACAAACACACACACUUAGUCGCCACCUACUGGUAGUAGUUGCUGUAGUUCAAAUUUGAGCGUGUGUGUGUGUGUGUGUGUGUGUGUGUGUGUGUGUGUGUGUGUGUGUGUGUGUGUGUGUGUGUGUGUGUGGUUAGCUUUCACAUUCCUGUAUAUACAGUAUGUGUGUAAAUUUGGCCCUUAGCCUAUUAGCUUGAUUAGCGUUGGUUUGGAACGGAUAGCUCCUGUUGUCUGCAAUGCCAUGAUGACACAACGUCCAACAGAGAACACACUCCUCCUUUCCCCUUCCUCUCUCUCCUUCUCCUUUUAAAUCUGCCUCUCUUCUAAUCAUUUUCACUCUCGCUUCAAAACAAAUUGUAAUGGCCACAUACACAUAUUUAACAGAUGUUAUUACGGGUGUAGCGAAAUGCUUUGUGUUCCUAGCUCCAACACUGCAGUAGUAUCUAACAAUUCACAACAAUACACACAAAUCUAAAAGUAAAAGAAUGGAAUAUAUAUAAAUAGUAGGACGAGAAAUGUCAGAGUGGCAUUGACUAAAAUACAGUAGAAUAGAAUACAGUAUAUACAUAUGAGAUGAGUAAAGCAGUAUGUAAACAUUAUUAAAGUGGCCAGUGAUUCCAUGUCUAUGUAUAUAGGGCAGCAGCCUCUAAGGUGCAGGGUUGAGUAACCGGGUGGUAGCCGGGUGGUAGCCGGGUGGUAACCGGGUGGUGAUGAUCUCCUAGUGAUCACUUCUAUUUCUCCUUCUCUCUUCUAGCUCCAAACAUUAUUUUCCUCUUAUCCCUCUUUACCUUUUCCCUUCUUAGGGUUUUUGGAAGAACACAUUCCUCUAUUGUCAUAUUCUCUCAUUUUUUCCUACCUCUCUCCCCAUUAAUUUCUCUAUCUCUUUUCACACCUCAGGGGUUGGGGUUAAAUGUGGAAGACACAUUUCAGUUGAAUGCUUUCAGUUGUACAACUGACUAGGUAUCCCCCCUUUCUCUUUCAGUUGUACAACUGACUAGGUAUCCCCCUUUCUCUUUCAGGUGUACAACUGACUAGGUAUCCCCCCUUUCCCUUUCAGUUGUACAACUGACUAGGUAUCCCCCCCCCCUUUCCCUUUCAGUUGUACAACUGACUAGGUAUCCCCCCUUUCUCUUUCAGUUGUACAACUGACUAGGUAUCCCCCCUUUCUCUUUCAGUUGUACAACUGACUAGAUAUCCCCCCUUUCUCUUUCAGUUGUACAACUGACAAGGUAUCCCCCCUUUCAGUUGUACAACUGACUAGGUAUCCCCCCUUUCAGUUGUACAACUGACUAGGUAUCCCCCCUUUCAGUUGUACAACUGACUAGGUAUCCCCCCUUUCAGUUGUACAACUGACUAGGUAUCCCCCCUUUCAGUUGUACAAC